GACGAACGCUGGCGGCGUGCUUAACACAUGCAAGUCGAACGGUGAAGCGCCUUCCUUUUUGGUGGGUGUGGAUGAGUGGCGAACGGGUGAGUAACACGUGAGUAACCUGCCCCCUUCUUCUGGAUAACCGCAUGAAAGUGUGGCUAAUACGGGAUAUUCUGGGUCUGUCGCAUGAUGGGUCUGGGAAAGAUAUUGUUUCGGUGGGGGAUGGGCUCGCGGCCUAUCAGCUUGUUGGUGGGGUGAUGGCCUACCAAGGCGGUGACGGGUAGCCGGCCUGAGAGGGUGGACGGUCACACUGGGACUGAGACACGGCCCAGACUCCUACGGGAGGCAGCAGUGGGGAAUAUUGCACAAUGGGAGCAAGGCUGAUGCAGCGACGCCGCGUGAGGGAUGGAGGCCUUCGGGUUGUGAACCUCUUUCGACAGUGAAGCAGGCCUGCCUCGUUUGUGGGUGGGUUGACGGUAGCUGGAUAAGAAGCGCCGGCUAACUACGUG
rnacentral:rRNA from 1 species